GAUGAACGCUGGCGGCGUGCCUAAUACAUGCAAGUCGAGCGAACAGACGAGGAGCUUGCUCCUCUGACGUUAGCGGCGGACGGGUGAGUAACACGUGGAUAACCUACCUAUAAGACUGGGAUAACUUCGGGAAACCGGAGCUAAUACCGGAUAAUAUAUUGAACCGCAUGGUUCAAAAGUGAAAGACGGUCUUGCUGUCACUUAUAGAUGGAUCCGCGCCGCAUUAGCUAGUUGGUAAGGUAACGGCUUACCAAGGCAACGAUGCGUAGCCGACCUGAGAGGGUGAUCGGCCACACUGGAACUGAGACACGGUCCAGACUCCUACGGGAGGCAGCAGUAGGGAAUCUUCCGCAAUGGGCGAAAGCCUGACGGAGCAACGCCGCGUGAGUGAUGAAGGUCUUCGGAUCGUAAAACUCUGUUAUUAGGGAAGAACAAAUGUGUAAGUAACUGUGCACGUCUUGACGGUACCUAAUCAGAAAGCCACGGCUAACUACGUG
rnacentral:rRNA from 1 species